CGGAGGUCCUCCCUACUUCCGGGUCCUCUCUGUCUUCGCUUUGGGCCUUCUCAGCCUUAGAGCAUGAGAAAGGAAGAAGCCGGAGAACCUUGGAACCGCAGAACCAAAAAUUAUCACGGCGGUUCAACCCCCGGUGUUACAGAUGAGAAAACCAAGGCCUUCAGAAUGCUGUUUGAAAUGUGCCCUCUGGCGGGACGAGGUGGCUCAGGCCUGUAAUCCCUGCACUUUGGAGGCCAAAGUGGA